rnacentral:rRNA from 1 species
UAUCAAUAAGCGGAGGAAAAGAAACUAACAAGGAUUCCCCUAGUAACUGCGAGUGAAGCGGGAAAAGCUCAAAUUUAAAAUCUGGCGGUCCCUGUGGCCGUCCGAGUUGUAAUUUAGAGAAGCGUUAUCCGCGCUGGACCGUACACAAGUCUCCUGGAAUGGAGCGUCAUAGAGGGUGAGAAUCCCGUCUUUGGUACGGACUGCCAGGGCAUUGUGAUGCGCUCUCAAAGAGUCGAGUUGUUUGGGAAUGCAGCUCAAAAUGGGUGGUAAAUUCCAUCUAAAGCUAAAUAUUGAGGAGAGACCGAUAGCGAACAAGUACCGUGAGGGAAAGAUGAAAAGAACUUUGGAAAGAGAGUUAAACAGUACGUGAAAUUGCUGAAAGGGAAACGCUUGAAGUCAGUCGCGUCGUUCAGGACUCAGCCUUGCUUUUGCUUGGUGUACUUCCUGUUCGAUGGGUCAACAUCAGUUUUGGCCGGUGGAUAAAGGCUUGGAGAAUGUGGCACCUUCGGGUGUGUUAUAGCUCUGGGUCGCAUACAUCGGCUGGGACUGAGGAACUCAGCACGCCGCAAGGCCGGGUACUUGUACCACGUACGUGCUUAGGAUGUUGGCAUAAUGGCUUUAAUCGACCCGUCUUGAAACACGGACCAAGGAGUCUAACAUGCCUGCGA